rnacentral:rRNA from 1 species
UACGGAGGGUGCAAGCAUUAAUCGGAAUUAUUGGGCGUAAAGGGCGCGUAGGCGGAUAGGAAAGUCGGAUGUGAAAUUUCGGAGCUCAACUUCGAAGCUGCAUUCGAAACUUCCUGUCUAGAGGAUAGGCGGAGAAAACGGAAUUCCACGUGUAGCGGUGAAAUGCGUAGAGAUGUGGAAGAACACCUGUGGCGAAAGCGGUUUUCUAGCUUAUUCCUGACGCUGAGGCGCGAAAGCAAGGGGAGCAAACAGG